CACACUGGGAUUUUUCCCUGACAGCAUUCUUCUCCUCCGCAGAACAACCGAUCGGAACCCUAGUCGCUGUCUCCGGAUCCGAUCAUCAUCGACCGUGCAAGAACAAAGCACCGGCAAGGCCGUGGAGGAAGAGAGGCGGCGAAGCGAGUGGAACUUAGAAUCGAAAGGAAACUCGGAUUCAGGCCCAUAGUUCCGGCCUGAUCCCAGUCCAUGUCUCCUCCUCCAGGAUGAAGCCCCGGUCCUCCCUUCACUCCAGCCCGGUUGGCAGAGCCGGUUAGACGAGGAGGCAGCUUCAACUCUGUGGAGCCGAUCCAGAAAAGCCUGGGGAUCAAUCUUGGCCAAACUAUCAGAUGAAUCCGAGCCAGAAAAGGUCGUAGCCAUGGUUGGUGGCCCAACAGUUCACAUAUGGCUCAUAGCACAAUGCCUCAAUCUCACCAAAUAAUGGCUCGGUUUCAAAAGACCACCCAGACAGAAGAUCCGAUGCAUAAACUAGACGGUUCGUCUGGGGAGAUGGUCCAUACCCAUCAUAAGAAGAGUUUUAGACAUCCUUGAUACUUUCUGAUGUAUACAGAACUAAAGACUUUUGCAUU